CUAGUAAUCGUAGAUCAGCAUGCUACGGUGAAUACGUUCCCGGGUCUGUACACACCGCCCGUCACACCACGAGAGUUUGUAACACCCGAAGCCGGUGGAGUAACCUUUUAGGAGCUAGCCGUCGAAGGUGGGACAAAUGAUUGGGGUGAAGUCGUAACAAGGUAGCCGUAUCGGAAGGUGCGGCUGGAUCACCUCCUUUCUAAGGA
rnacentral:rRNA from 1 species